rnacentral:snoRNA from 1 species
UUCCUGCUGGUGUGUUCAAAGGACAGUGCAAUAGAAACUCAGUAUCUGGCAAUGAUGGUUUUCUUGGCUUUGUGCAUGUUAUACCUGGUAUUUCAAUUGAUAUGGUA